rnacentral:rRNA from 1 species
GUGCACCAGUCGAGAAACCUUCGCAAUGCAGGAAACUGCGACGAGGGAACUCCAAGUGCCUACGCUCAGCGUAGGCUGUUCUCAAGCCUAGAAAGCUUGAGGAGUAAGGGCUGGGGUAAGACGGGUGCCAUCUGUGGUAGCAGUCAAUAGAUUCGAUUUGUUACUGCAAGGCAUAAGCCGCCGCGGUAAUACCCGCAGCCCAAGUGGUGGCCGCUUUUAUUGGGCCUAAAGCGUCCGUAGCCGGCCCGGUAAAUGCCUGGGUAAAUCGUGGAGCCCAACUUCACGAAUUCCGGGUAGACUGCCGAGCUCGGGACCGGAAGAGGGAGAGGGUACUUCAGGGGUAGGGGUGAAAAGUUUCCGUUUCCAUUUAACGCUUUUGCGUCGAAGCGGAAAGGGUUAUCGACAAUCCUGU